GGCGUAGUUCAGUUGGUUAGAGCGUCAGAUUGUGGUUCUGAAUGUCGUGGGUUCGAGUCCCACCUUC
rnacentral:tRNA from 1 species